rnacentral:rRNA from 1 species
AAGGAUCAUUGUCAAAACCUACCCGACAGAGGAACCCGCGAACGAGUGAAAACGUGCACGUGCGGUUCGAGGAGGGGCGCCCCCCCGAUCGUCUGUCCGUCGGACCACGGUCCCCCGCUGCGGCUCGCCGAAAGGGCGACCGCAAGGUGGGCCGUCCAAACUAAACAAAAAAUUGGCGCUACGGGCGCCAAGGAAAUCUUAGUGGAAAUAGGGUUUGCACCAUUCGCGGUCGCGGCCUUCGGGAUCCGAUACUCGAACGACUCUCGGCAACGGAUAUCUCAGCUCUUGCAUCGAUGAAGAAUGUAGUGAAAUGCGAUACUUGGUAUGAAUUGCAGAAUCUUGUGAACCAUCGAGUCUUUGAACUUAAGUUGCGCCCGAGACCACUAGGUCGAGGGCACGUUUGCCUGGGCAUCACACACAGCGUCGCACCCCACCAACCACAUUACCAGGGAGCGGAAAUUCCCCCCCACCAGGCCCUUUAGGGCAUGGUCGGCAAAAAUGUUGGUCCCCAAAGGUGGGGGUCGCGUCAGCGGUGGUUGUGCUACUCACCCCGAAGACAUCAUGAUGCGCUCCUUCCCUACACGACGGGACAAACGACCCCACGAAACCGCCUCACGCGGCAUCCACCUGCGACCCCCAGGUCAGGCGGGACUACAUGCCGAGUUUAA